rnacentral:rRNA from 1 species
GCUUACGACCACACCGGCCUGAGUACGCCUGAUCUCGUCUGAUCUCGGAAGCUAAGCAGGGUCGGCCUGGUUAGUACUUGGAUGGGAGACUGCCUGGAAUACCAGUUGCUGUAAGCU